UACGUAGGGUGCAAGCGUUGUCCGGAAUUAUUGGGCGUAAAGAGCUCGUAGGCGGUUUGUCGCGUCUGCUGUGAAAACUCGGGGCUUAACUCCGGGCCUGCAGUGGGUACGGGCAGGCUAGAGUUCGGUAGGGGAGACUGGAAUUCCUGGUGUAGCGGUGAAAUGCGCAGAUAUCAGGAGGAACACCGGUGGCGAAGGCGGGUCACUGGCCCGGUACUGACGCUGAGGUGCGAAAGCGUGGGGAGCAAACAGG
rnacentral:rRNA from 1 species